rnacentral:tRNA from 1 species
UGGCUCAGAGGAUAAAGCGUCUGCCUGCAAUGCAGGAGACCCAGGUUCGAUUCCUGG